UACGGGGGGGGUAAGCGUUGUUCGGAAUUACUGGGCGUAAAGGGCUCGUAGGCGGCCAACUAAGUCAGACGUGAAAUCCCUCAGCUUAACUGGGGAACUGCGUCUGAUACUGGAUGGCUUGGAUCCGGAAGAGGGAUGCGGAAUUCCAGGUGUAGCGGUGAAAUGCGUAGAUAUCUGGAGGAACACCGGUGGCGAAGGCGGCAUCCUGGACCGGUAUUGACGCUGAGGAGCGAAAGCUAGGGGAGCAAACGGG
rnacentral:rRNA from 1 species